rnacentral:rRNA from 1 species
AAUUCGAUGAUACGCGAGGAACCUUACCUGGGCUCAAAUGUAUGUUGACGUAUUCUGAAAGGGAUACUUCUUCGGACAAUAUACAAGGUGCUGCAUGGUUGUCGUCAGCUCGUGUCGUGAGAUGUUGGGUUAAGUCCCGUAACGAGCGCAACCCUUGUCCUUAGUUACCAGCACGUUAUGGUGGGCACUCUAAGGAGACUGCCGGUGACAAACCGGAGGAAGGUGGGGAUGACGUCAAGUCAUCAUGGCCCUUACGGCCUGGGCUACACACGUGCUACAAUGGUCGGUACAAGGGGUUGCCAAGCCGCGAGGUGGAGCUAAUCCCAUAAAACCGAUCGUAGUCCGGAUCGCAGUCUGCAACUCGACUGCGUGAAGUCGGAAUCGCUAGUAAUCGUGAAUCAGAAUGUCACGGUGAAUACGUUCCCGGGCCUU